GGGUUGUGAGGUUAAGCGACUAAGCGUACACGGUGGAUGCCCUGGCAGUCAGAGGCGAUGAAGGGCGUGCUAAUCUGCGAUAAGCGCCGGUAAGGUGAUAUGAACCGUUAUAACCGGCGAUACCCGAAUGGGGAAACCCAGUGUGAUUCGUCACACUAUCAUUAACUGAAUCCAUAGGUUAAUGAGGCGAACCGGGGGAACUGAAACAUCUAAGUACCCCGAGGAAAAGAAAUCAACCGAGAUUCCCCCAGUAGCGGCGAGCGAACGGGGAGGAGCCCAGAGCCUGAAUCAGCAUGUGUGUUAGUGGAAGCGUCUGGAAAGGCGCGCGAUACAGGGUGACAGCCCCGUACACAAAAGCGCAUGUGCUGUGAGCUCGAUGAGUAGGGCGGGACACGUGGUAUCCUGUCUGAAUAUGGGGGGACCAUCCUCCAAGGCUAAAUACUCCUGACUGACCGAUAGUGAACCAGUACCGUGAGGGAAAGGCGAAAAGAACCCCGGCGAGGGGAGUGAAAAAGAACCUGAAACCGUGUACGUACAAGCAGUGGGAGCNNGGGCGUUAAGUUGCAGGGUAUAGACCCGAAACCCGGUGAUCUAGCCAUGGGCAGGUUGAAGGUUGGGUAACACUAACUGGAGGACCGAACCGACUAAUGUUGAAAAAUUAGCGGAUGACCUGUGGCUGGGGGUGAAAGGCCAAUCAAACCGGGAGAUAGCUGGUUCUCCCCGAAAGCUAUUUAGGUAGCGCCUCGUGAAUUCAUCUCCGGGGGUAGAGCACUGUUUCGGCUAGGGGGCCAUCCCGGCUUACCAACCCGAUGCAAACUGCGAAUACCGGAGAAUGUUAUCACGGGAGACACACGGCGGGUGCUAACGUCCGUCGUGAAGAGGGAAACAACCCAGACCGCCAGCUAAGGUCCCAAAGUCAUGGUUAAGUGGGAAACGAUGUGGGAAGGCCCAGACAGCCAGGAUGUUGGCUUAGAAGCAGCCAUCAUUUAAAGAAAGCGUAAUAGCUCACUGGUCGAGUCGGCCUGCGCGGAAGAUGUAACGGGGCUAAACCAUGCACCGAAGCUGCGGCAGCGANNUGCUGGAGGUAUCAGAAGUGCGAAUGCUGACAUAAGUAACGAUAAAGCGGGUGAAAAGCCCGCUCGCCGGAAGACCAAGGGUUCCUGUCCAACGUUAAUCGGGGCAGGGUGAGUCGACCCCUAAGGCGAGGCCGAAAGGCGUAGUCGAUGGGAAACGGGUUAAUAUUCCCGUACUUGGUGUUACUGCGAAGGGGGGACGGAGAAGGCUAUGUUGGCCGGGCGACGGUUGUCCCGGUUUAAGCGUGUAGGUGUGUGUUCCAGGUAAAUCCGGUUCACUUUAACACUGAGGCGUGACGACGAGGCACUACGGUGCUGAAGCAACAAAUGCCCUGCUUCCAGGAAAAGCCUCUAAGCAUCAGGUAACAUCAAAUCGUACCCCAAACCGACACAGGUGGUCAGGUAGAGAAUACCAAGGCGCUUGAGAGAACUCGGGUGAAGGAACUAGGCAAAAUGGUGCCGUAACUUCGGGAGAAGGCACGCUGACACGUAGGUGAAGUGAUUUACUCAUGGAGCUGAAGUCAGUCGAAGAUACCAGCUGGCUGCAACUGUUUAUUAAAAACACAGCACUGUGCAAACACGAAAGUGGACGUAUACGGUGUGACGCCUGCCCGGUGCCGGAAGGUUAAUUGAUGGGGUCAGCGCAAGCGAAGCUCCUGAUCGAAGCCCCGGUAAACGGCGGCCGUAACUAUAACGGUCCUAAGGUAGCGAAAUUCCUUGUCGGGUAAGUUCCGACCUGCACGAAUGGCGUAAUGAUGGCCAGGCUGUCUCCACCCGAGACUCAGUGAAAUUGAACUCGCUGUGAAGAUGCAGUGUACCCGCGGCAAGACGGAAAGACCCCGUGAACCUUUACUAUAGCUUGACACUGAACAUUGAGCCUUGAUGUGUAGGAUAGGUGGGAGGCUUUGAAGUGUGGACGCCAGUCUGCAUGGAGCCGACCUUGAAAUACCACCCUUUAAUGUUUGAUGUUCUAACGUGGACCCGUAAUCCGGGUUGCGGACAGUGUCUGGUGGGUAGUUUGACUGGGGCGGUCUCCUCCUAAAGAGUAACGGAGGAGCACGAAGGUUGGCUAAUCCUGGUCGGACAUCAGGAGGUUAGUGCAAUGGCAUAAGCCAGCUUGACUGCGAGCGUGACGGCGCGAGCAGGUGCGAAAGCAGGUCAUAGUGAUCCGGUGGUUCUGAAUGGAAGGGCCAUCGCUCAACGGAUAAAAGGUACUCCGGGGAUAACAGGCUGAUACCGCCCAAGAGUUCAUAUCGACGGCGGUGUUUGGCACCUCGAUGUCGGCUCAUCACAUCCUGGGGCUGAAGUAGGUCCCAAGGGUAUGGCUGUUCGCCAUUUAAAGUGGUACGCGAGCUGGGUUUAGAACGUCGUGAGACAGUUCGGUCCCUAUCUGCCGUGGGCGCUGGAGAACUGAGGGGGGCUGCUCCUAGUACGAGAGGACCGGAGUGGACGCAUCACUGGUGUUCGGGUUGUCAUGCCAAUGGCACUGCCCGGUAGCUAAAUGCGGAAGAGAUAAGUGCUGAAAGCAUCUAAGCACGAAACUUGCCCCGAGAUGAGUUCUCCCUGAGACUUAGAGUCUCCUGAAGGAACGUUGAAGACGACGACGUUGAUAGGCCGGGUGUGUAAGCGCAGCGAUGCGUGG
rnacentral:rRNA from 1 species